rnacentral:lncRNA from 1 species
GUGUAGUGUAAGCAUAGAUCCUACUAAGUGUCGUUUGUCAUUGCUCUUCUUGUAGCCUCGAGACUUCAGUGCAAGACCGGCGCCUCAGUUAGCCAUGUUUCUCUUGCCAAGAAAAUGCCCGUAGUUGUCCACGCCUCUGCAGAGGCUGGUGCAACUGAUGCCGCGGAGCAACCAGAGAAGCCAAAACCAGCGGCUUCUAUCGAGGACAUGCCGCUCGAGUCCAAGCAGCAGAUGAUCCUGGAGCAGAGGGCACGGAUGAAGGUGGCCAAGAAGCUGAGGCAGAGGCGCAAGCGGCUCGUCCAGAAGAGGCGGCUGAGGAAGAAGGGCAGGUGGCCACCGUCCAAGAUGAAGAAGCUCAAGAAUGUCUGACCGGCACAUGAUGUUAAACGGCUGGUCUUUAAACCUCCGUGUUGCGUUCCUCUAAUGCAUUGGUGUCUGUUUGGUUUGUACAAUUUUUCUGUUCUGAAACACAUAAUCGGUUAUAGUGCAGUUAACUAUAUUACCAUAAUGAAAUGAAACCUUUUUGCGUGUCCAUAGCAGCGGAUUGAUGUGCUUUUAACCAAUUUUAG